CCCUUAGAUGUUCUGGGCCGCACGCGCGCUACUCUGACGAUGGCAACGAGUUUUUCCUUCGCCGAAAGGUGUGGGUAAUCUUUUGAAACAUCGUCGUGCUGGGGAUAGAUCAUUGCAAUUUUUGAUCUUGAACGAGGAAUUCCUAGUAAGCGCGAGUCAUCAGCUCGCGUUGAUUACGUCCCUGCCCUUUGUACACACCGCCCGUCGCUACUACCGAUUGAAUGGUUUAGUGAGGACUCCUGAUUGGCGCCGCCGCCCCGGCAACGGAGCAGCGGACUGCCGAAAAGUUGUUCAAACUUGAUCAUUUAGAGGAAGUAAAAGUCGUAACA
rnacentral:rRNA from 1 species